UAACGUGAGCUCUCCUUGGGCCUGGGAGAAAUUCUGAGAAUGACCCCUGAGAAUGAGCUCAGUGGUGAGAAGUCCAAGGACAGGAUGAGGUCGACAUUGCAAGUGUUUUUGGAAUAAGAAUCAACACACUUAAAGACUGGGAUUUGGAAGUGAGAAGGAGUACAUGGAAGUGAUUCAGGAAAACAAGGAAAUGAGACACAAGUGGCAACAUUUGUCAAAGUUCUAUGCAUUUGUUCCUUUGGAUUCAAGUGAAACAUCUGGAGUCAAUUCUUAACCCAAUGUUGGUUUGUUGUCACCAACCUCUUUGCCCUGCUAUUGACACCUUGUUCUAUUUGCCAUCUUCAGAAUUUUCUCUGGUCAGGUCUGCUAGCUGCCACUCCAACCAAAUUAUAGACUGAAUGUUUGAAUGUGUUCUCCAAAAUCCAUUUGAGGAAACUCCAACUACCAAUGUCCCAAUGUGCUUGGAAAUGGGGUUUGGGAGGGAUUAGAUAAUGAGUGUGGGGCCUUCAUGAAUCUAAUUAGUGCCUGUAUAACAAAAAAUCAUGAGAUUCCCUCUCUCUCUCUCUCUCCCUCCCUCUCUCUCUGUCUCUCUCUCUUCAACAUGCUAGGACACAGUAAGAACCUUGUCAUCUGUAAAGCUGUAAGAGGACCCUUACCAAGAAAAUAACAAUGCUGGCACAGUUCUUUUGGAAUUUCAGCCUCCAGAACUGGGAGAAAUAAAUGUUUGUUUUGUA